UACGAAGGGGGCUAGCGUUGUUCGGAAUCACUGGGCGUAAAGGGCGCGUAGGCGGCUGUUCAAGUCGGGGGUGAAAUCCCGUGGCUCAACCACGGAAUGGCCUUCGAUACUGAAAGUCUCGAGUAUGGGAGAGGUGAGUGGAACUGCGAGUGUAGAGGUGAAAUUCGUAGAUAUUCGCAAGAACACCAGUGGCGAAGGCGGCUCACUGGCCCAUUACUGACGCUGAGGCACGAAAGCGUGGGGAGCAAACAGG
rnacentral:rRNA from 1 species